rnacentral:rRNA from 1 species
GAUGAACGCUAGCUCCAGGCUUAACACAUGCAAGUCGAGGGACCGGCGCCCGGGUGAGUGACACGUAUCCAACCUGCCCUUUACUCGGGGAUAGCCUUUCGAAAGAAAGAUUAAUACCCGAUAUAACGGAUGGGGAUGCGUUUCAUUAGGUUGUUGGUGCGGUAACGGCUCACCAAGCCUUCGAUGGUUAGGGGGUCUGAGAGGAAGGUCCCCCAAAUGUGAAUUGAGACACGGUCCAAACUCCUACGGGAGGCAGAAGUGAGUAGUAUUGGGCAAUGGGCGCUAGCCUGAACCCGCAAAGUAUCGUGAAGGAGGAAGGCUUAUGGUUCGUAAACUUCUUUAAUAGAAGAAUAUGUAUUAUAUGAAUAAGGAACGGCUAACUCCGUGCCAGCAGCCGCGGUAAUUC